GGUUACUGCUAUCGGUGUUCGCCUAAGCCAUGCGAGUCAUAUGUAGCAAUACAUGGCGUACUGCUCAGUAACACGUGGAUAACCUGCCCUUGGGUCCGGCAUAACCCCGGGAAACUGGGGAUAAUUCCGGAUAACGCAUAUAUGCUGGAAUGCUUUCUGCGUAAAAUGGAUUCGUCUGCCCAAGGAUGGGUCUGCGGCCUAUCAGGUAGUAGUGGGUGUAAUGUACCUACUAGCCUACGACGGGUACGGGUUGUGAGAGCAAGAGCCCGGAGAUGGAUUCUGAGACAUGAAUCCAGGCCCUACGGGGCGCAGCAGGCGCGAAAACUUUACAAUGCGGGAAACCGUGAUAAGGGGACACCGAGUGCCAGCAUCCUAUGCUGGCUGUCCGGGUGUGUAAAAUACACCUGUCAGCAAGGGCCGGGCAAGACCGGUGCCAGUCGCCGCGGUAACACCGGCGGCCCGAGUGGUGAUCGUGAUUAUUGGGUCUAAAGGGUCCGUAGCCGGUUUGGUCAGUCCUCCGGGAAAUCUGACAGCUCAACUGUUAGGCUUUCGGAGGAUACUGCCAGACUUGGAACCGGGAGAGGUAAGAGGUACUACAGGGGUAGGAGUGAAAUCUUGUAAUCCCUGUGGGACCACCUGUGGCGAAGGCGUCUUACCAGAACGGGUUCGACGGUGAGGGACGAAAGCUGGGGGCACGAACCGGAUUAGAUACCCGGGUAGUCCCAGCCGUAAACGAUGCUCGCUAGGUGUCAGGCAUGGCGCGACCGUGUCUGGUGCCGCAGGGAAGCCGUGAAGCGAGCCACCUGGGAAGUACGGCCGCAAGGCUGAAACUUAA
rnacentral:rRNA from 1 species